rnacentral:rRNA from 1 species
GUGUCAGCCGCCGCGGUAAGACAGAGGUCCCGAGCGUUAGGCGGAAUCACUGGGCUUAAAGCGUGUGUAGGCGGAUGCCUAAGUACCUUGUGAAAUCCCACGGCUCACCCGUGGAACUGCUUGGUAUACUGGGUGUCUUGAGCCACUUAGGGGCUACCGGAACAAAUGGUGGAGCGGUGAAAUGCGUAGAUAUCAUUUGGAACGCCAAUGGUGAAAACAGGUAGCUGGGAGUGUGCUGACGCUGAGACACGAAAGCCAGGGGAGCAAACGGGAUUAGAUACCCGCGUAGUCC